rnacentral:tRNA from 1 species
GAGGGUAUAGCUCAGUGGUAGAGCGCAUGCUUAGCAUGCACAAGGUCCUGGGUUCAAUCUCCAGUACCUCCA